CACUCCUACGGGAGGCAGCAGUGGGGAAUUUUGGACAAUGGGCGAAAGCCUGAUCCAACAAUGCCGCGUGUGUGAAGAAGGCCUUCGGGUUGUAAAGCACUUUUGUCCGGAAAGAAAUCCUUGGCUCUAAUACAGUCGGGGGAUGACGGUACCGGAAGAAUAAGCACCGGCUAACUACGUGCCAGCAGCCGCGGUAAUACGUAGGGUGCGAGCGUUAAUCGGAAUUACUGGGCGUAAAGCGUGCGCAGGCGGUUUGCUAAGACCGAUGUGAAAUCCCCGGGCUCAACCUGGGAACUGCAUUGGUGACUGGCAGGCUAGAGUAUGGCAGAGGGGGGUAGAAUUCCACGUGUAGCAGUGAAAUGCGUAGAGAUGUGGAGGAAUACCGAUGGCGAAGGCAGCCCCCUGGGCCAAUACUGACGCUCAUGCACGAAAGCGUGGGGAGCAAACAGGAUUAGAUACCCCAGUAGUCCC
rnacentral:rRNA from 1 species